AGAGUUUGAUCCUGGCUCAGAUUGAACGCUGGCGGCAGGCCUAACACAUGCAAAGUCGAGCGGAUGAGUGGAGCUUGCUCCAUGAUUCAGCGGCGGACGGGUGAGUAAUGCCUAGGAAUCUGCCUGGUAGUGGGGGACAACGUUUCGAAAGGAACGCUAAUACCGCAUACGUCUACGGGAGAAAGCAGGGGACUUUCGGGCCUUGCGCUAUCAGAUGAGCCUAGGUCGGAUUAGCUAGUUGGUGAGGUAACGGCUCACCAAGGCGACGAUCCGUAACUGGUCUGAGAGGAUGAUCAGUCACACUGGAACUGAGACACGGUCCAGACUCCUACGGGAGGCAGCAGUGGGGAAUAUUGGACAAUGGGCGGAAGCCUGAUCCAGCCAUGCCGCGUGUGUGAAGAAGGUCUUCGGAUUGUAAAGCACUUUAAGUUGGGAGGAAGGGCAGUAAGUUAAUACCUUGCUGUCUUGACAUUACCGACAGAAUAAGCACCGGCUAACUUCGUGCCAGCAGCCGCGGUAAUACGAAGGGUGCAAGCGUUAAUCGGAAUUACUGGGCGUAAAGCGCGCGUAGGUGGUUCAGCAAGUUGGAUGUGAAAGCCCCGGGCUCAACCUGGGAACUGCAUCCAAAACUACUGAGCUAGAGUACGGUAGAGGGUGGUGGAAUUUCCUGUGUAGCGGUGAAAUGCGUAGAUAUAGGAAG
rnacentral:rRNA from 1 species